AUUUUAUCAGUGGUUAUGAUGUGUUCCAUGCUGAUGUCUCUGUUGUUGCUGCAUCUGUUGUUGUUUUGUUGUUGUUAUUGUUGCUGUUGUUGUCAUUGUUGCUGUUGUUGUUGUUGCUUCUUUUGUUGUUGUUGUUAUUGUUGCUGUUGUUGUUGUUGUUGCUGUCACUGCUGUUGCUUCUUUUGUUGUUGUUGUUGUUGUUGUUGUUGUUGUUGUUGUUGUUGUUGCUGUCACUGCUGUUGCUUCUUUUGUUGUUGUUGUUGUUGUUGUUGUUGUUGUUGUUGUUGUUGUUGUUGUUGUUGUUGUUGUUGUUGUUGUUGUUGUUGUUGUUGCUGUUGUUGUUG